rnacentral:rRNA from 1 species
GAUAAACGCUGGCGGCGCACAUAAGACAUGCAAGUCGAACGGACUUAACUCAUUCUUUUAGAUUGAGAGCGGUUAGUGGCGGACUGGUGAGUAACACGUAAGCAACCUGCCUAUCAGAGGGGAAUAACAACGAGAAAUCGUUGCUAAUACCGCAUAAGCUAGUAGCAUCGCAUGAUGUAGCUAGAAAAGGAGCAAUCCGCUGAUAGAUGGGCUUGCGUCUGAUUAGCUAGUUGGUGGGGUAACGGCCUACCAAGGCGACGAUCAGUAGCCGGACUGAGAGGUUGACCGGCCACAUUGGGACUGAGAUACGGCCCAGACUCCUACGGGAGGCAGCAGUGGGGAAUAUUGGGCAAUGGGCGCAAGCCUGACCCAGCAACGCCGCGUGAAGGAAGAAGGCUUUCGGGUUGUAAACGUCCUUUUAAGAGGGUAAGAGCAGAGGACUGUACCUCUAGAAUAAGCCACGGCUAACUACGUGCCAGCAGCCGCGGU